ACUAUUUUGGCAGAAAAAUGUGAUGAUUUUAGAAGUCAUUAAUAUAUAAUUUAUUAUAUAUAUAGUA
rnacentral:tRNA from 4 species